UACGUAGGGUGCGAGCGUUGUCCGGAAUUAUUGGGCGUAAAGAGCUCGUAGGCGGCUUGUUGCGUCAGCUGUGAAAACCCGCAGCUCAACUGUGGGCUUGCAGCUGAUACGGGCAGACUAGAGUGCGGUAGGGGAGACUGGAAUUCCUGGUGUAGCGGUGAAAUGCGCAGAUAUCAGGAGGAACACCGGUGGCGAAGGCGGGUCUCUGGGCCGUAACUGACGCUGAGGAGCGAAAGCAUGGGGAGCGAACAGG
rnacentral:rRNA from 1 species